UCGUCCUCAGAUACUAAGAAAGUUUAAGUCAUUGGAAUUUCCUUGUCAUUAAAUGAAUUCUGACUAAGGCCAUCAAUGUUUUCAGGCUGUUUUUCUGCAGUGCUCUCUCAGUACGUUUCGGGAACUAUGGAUCGUCACAUUCCCAUGCAUGCCUUACCUGAAGAAAUCCAAAAGAUGUCUCCUGAAGAAACAGUUUGUAAAUACUGUGGCGUCAGCUAUCUAAUUCUUCAUGAAUUUAAGGCUAUGGAAGAAAAACUGAAAGCAGUGCAAGAAGAAAUGAAAUUUUAUCAAGGAAGUGUAGAACGAGAAAAGAAACUUCAAGAAAAGCUGCAGUCUCUUAGCCAGGAGUUUGAACAGUAUAAAAGUGCCAGCGAGUCCAAGAAGGCAAGGUCGGGAGUUCAAGAUGCAAGCAUGCAGUUAAAAAAGCAACAAAAUGAAUUUCAGAGUGUACAGAAAGAAUUAGGUCAUCUACAACUUGAGUUAAAAAUUAAACAAAAACAAUCCCAAGUCUUCAGUCAAAGAUUGUUGGAACACAAACACUUCUGGAAUAAGACUCUUUUAUUACUUACUUUCACUAAGAGGGAACUAACAAGUAUUAAAUAUGAGAUAGAUGAUAAUUUUCAAAACUGGACUGCACUGAAAGGAGAAGUUUUGCUACAAAUUAAAUCUAUAAGUGAUACAGCUUUGGCAGAGAUAGAUAUGUUAAAUAAAAGUCUAACAGUGUCCCAGAGAAAUAAGGUGUGCCUGGAAGAGGAAAUGAAAAGUCUCAAAUUGUUGUCAGAUGCAGCCAUAUUGAGGUCUCAGCAGAUGGAGGCAUCCAAACAGCAUGAAGUGAACUUGCAAGCCAGGUGCUAUGAGCUGCAGAAAGAAGCACUAGAUUUACAGUGUCAAGUAGAGGCACUUGGGUUGAGACUUCAGAAGACAGCAAAGGAGCUGGACAACUGUAAGGAGAUGCUCAUGAAAAAAUCUAAUGAUGCUGAAAGCUGUGAAAGAGAACUUAGAAAACUGAAGUUUGAAUCCAUUAUCUCUGAGUCAAGGCACAAAAGGCUACUUAAAGAAAAAGAAGACUCUUUAAUUACUUGCCAACAAUUAUAUAAAACCAUACAGGAAGAGCUGACAACAAAAGAAAGACAAGAGGAAGAUGUAAAACGAAGAAUCAACCUCACAGAAAAUGAACUAGAGAUCACUAAAUCUCUCCUGCUUCAGACACAGGAAGAAAUCUUAACACUGAAAAAUGAAAGGGAAUUGAUGCUGGUUUCUCAUCAGAAAAGCAUCGAGCAGCUGCAGGAAACCCUGAGACAGAAGCUGCUGAGCGAUGACAGCUGGAGGGAGAAGAUUGAAGCUGAGCUUAGCAAGGAAAGAGCCCGGCAUCUCAUUGAGUUCCAGGAUCAAGCUCUUCUCUUUAAGGAGGAAGCUAAACUGGAACUUGACAUUGAAAAAGAAAAGCACCAGGAAAUAAUCCGGAAGUAUCAGCAAGAACAUGAGGACCUGCAGAGGAAGAUAGGUGACCUAAUCGCAGAUGCUACAAAAGACCUGAGGCUGGAAGUGGCCUCUCUCCAAGAAAAACUCCAUGAAUCCCAUGCACGAUACACAGAAGAGUCUGAAUCAAAGAAAAAAGAAAUUGAAGACCUGAAAAAUCUGGUUGCAGAAUUCCAGUGUCGUUUGAAAAAGGAAACUGGCUAUGAUGAUUCAAUUUCCGAAGAGUUGAAGAAGGAAAUGAAACAGAAGUCAGACGAGCUGGAAAGAGUAAGGCUGGCCCAGACACAGCUGCUGCAGCAGUUCAACCAGUCACAGGAAGAGAACACUUUUCUCCAGGAAACCGUGCGCAGAGAGUGUGAAGAACGCUUUGAACUAACGGAGGCUUUGAGUCAAGCCAAAGAACAGCUCCUGGAGCUCAGGAGGAGCGGAGGAAACUUACCGUGUUCCCUCAAUAAGGGCACCCUAACCUACCCUGCCUCGGCAGUCAGUAAUCACCGCGAGCUAAGCAGUGGGAGACAGAACUGUGGACGAGGCACCGGCACACCCAGCCUGCGUGGACUGCCAAAACCCACAGCUUCCCCGACCCCAGAUAAGCUCAAGAAGCUCUUCUGCUGAGCCACAUCUCCCAUCCAUUCUCUGAAUGUUUUUAAUGAAGAAUGAAAGAAGAAAGAAAGAAGAAAGAAUGAAAGAAGCCAGUCAAUAACACACAACUGUGAUAACAGCACCAGGGAGGUAGAGGCAGGAGGAUCACUUGGGAAAUUAAAAUCUGUCUAGGGACUUCUGCCUAUCAUCCCAGCAGAUGAAAAGCUGAAGCAAGAAGAUGCUGAGUUCCAGGCCAGCAUGGACUACAGAAUGAGUUAUUGGCCAGGCUGAACUUUGAAACCCUGUCUUCCAAAGACUAUAAUGACAUAAGGAGAAGAACAGGAGGGAAAAAGGAAGAAAGACCUUUAUAGGAAAAAAGACAGUUGGCAGGUCCUUAUGUAGGACAUUAGUUAUUUUGAGACAAGUUCGACUAUUGUAGCCAAGCCUGAACUCCCGAUCUUCCUGCCUCAGCCUCCCAACUGCUGGAAUCACAGCUGUGUUCCAUCAUGCUGAUAAUUUUUUAUGUCUUAUUAGUUGGUGAAAAAAAACAGUUCAAUGUUUCAAAAACCUUUCU